rnacentral:rRNA from 1 species
UACGAGAGGUGCAAGCGUUAUUCGGAAUCAUUGGGCGUAAAGGGUGCGUAGACGGCGUUAUAAGUUUGUUGUUAAAGACUCCGGCCUAACUGGAGCGGUGCAAUGAAAACUGUAGUGCUAGAGGGUGAGAGAGAGAAGUGGAAUUUCCGGAGUAGCGGUCAAAUGCGUAGAUCUCGGAAGGAACACCGAUGGCGAAGGCAGCUUCUUGGCUCAUUUCUGACGUUGAUGCACGAAAGCGUGGGGAGCAAACAGG